ensembl:lncRNA
CUGCAGCCGAUUACAGAUUUGAAACAUCAUCUGUUUGUGUUUCCUCUGCUUGUAGUUGUAACAUGACCUGAGUGUGUGUGUUUGCAUUUUCCAGAUACACAUCAAGCUGAUACACAUGUUGUCUACUCUGACGUGAGGAUUCUCACUGCAGAGCAGUCAGCUGAUCCAGGUGUUGUGUAUUCAUCACUGAGAGCAGAUUUCCUUGGACCUGUCCCUGAUUCUGCCCUGGAUCCCUGAGUCAGCCUUGGACUGCCUUCAGAUUAUACAGAAAGCUGCUCAAACAUUACUCCAGUUUUGGCUUCUCUUCAUUGGUUGCCAGUAAAUGUUAAACUUUUAGUCAGAACUUUUAGAGCUCUUCACGGUGAAGCUCCCCAGUACAUCUCUGACCUGUUUAAACCUCACGCUUCAUCCUGAGCACUUAGGCCUUCAGGUCAGAGGUCACUGUUGGUCCC